rnacentral:ribozyme from 1 species
CAUUGGAAAAACACAUGGUGGCAUGACUCUUGUGUUUGAAUUUUGUGCUUUUCUUGUCCUCCUCAACAUGCUGACCAUGAAAUUUUACGAUAAAAGGUAUCCAGACCAAGAAGAAGCUGAAUUUCCGCUCUUAUUAAAUAAAAGUC